GUGNNNGUGUUUAAACCUUGCCUCGUAAUGACUUGGGAUAACUCCUUGGAAACCGGAGCUAAUACCGGAUAGUUCCUUGAACCGCAUGGUUCAAGGAUGAAAGACGGUUUCGGCUGUCACUUACAGAUGGACCCGCGGCGCAUUAGCUAGUUGGUGAGGUAACGGCUCACCAAGGCGACGAUGCGUAGCCGACCUGAGAGGGUGAUCGGCCACACUGGGACUGAGACACGGCCCAGACUCCUACGGGAGGCAGCAGUAGGGAAUCUUCCGCAAUGGACGAAAGUCUGACGGAGCAACGCCGCGUGAGUGAUGAAGGUUUUCGGAUCGUAAAGCUCUGUUGUUAGGGAAGAACAAGUGCAAGAGUAACUGCUUGCACCUUGACGGUACCUAACCAGAAAGCCACGGUUAACUACGUGCCAGCAUCCGCGGUAAUACGUAGGUGGCAAGCGUUGUCCGGAAUUAUUGGGCGUAAAGGGCUCGCAGGCGGUUUCUUAAGUCUGAUGUGAAAGNCCCCGGCUCAACCGGGGAGGGUCAUUGGAAACUGGGAAACUUGAGUGCAGAAGAGGAGCGUGGAAUUCCACGUGUAGCGGUGAAAUGCGUAGAGAUUGGAGGAACACCAGUGGCGAAGGCGACUCUCUGGUCUGUAACUGACGCUGAGGAGCGAAAGCGUGGGGAGCGAACAGGAUUAGAUACCCUGGUAGUCCACUCCGUAAACGAUGAGUGCUAAGUGUUAGGGGGUUUCCGCCCCUUAGUGCUGCAGCUAACGCAUUUAAGCACUCCGCCUGGGGAGUACGGUCGCAAGACUGAAACUCAAAGGAAUUGACGGGGGUCUCGNACAUGCCGGUGUAGCAUGUUGCUUUACUUCGAAGCAACGUGAAGAACCUUACUAGGUCUUUGACAUCCUCUGACCACCCUUAGAGAUAGGGCUUUCCCUCUGGGACAGAUUGACAGGUGGUGCAUGGUUGUCGCCAGCUCCUNUCGUUGUGAUGCUGGUUUAGUC
rnacentral:rRNA from 1 species